rnacentral:rRNA from 1 species
AUUGAACGCUGGCGGCAGGCCUAACACAUGCAAGUCGAACGGUAGCACAGAGAGCUUGCUCUCAGGUGACGAGUGGCGGACGGGUGAGUAAUGUCUGGGAAACUGCCCGAUGGAGGGGGAUAACUACUGGAAACGGUAGCUAAUACCGCAUAACGUCGCAAGACCAAAGUGGGGGACCUUCGGGCCUCACACCAUCGGAUGUGCCCAGAUGGGAUUAGCUAGUAGGUGGGAUAAUGGCUCACCUAGGCGACGAUCCCUAGCUGGUCUGAGAGGAUGACCAGCCACACUGGAACUGAGACACGGUCCAGACUCCUACGGGAGGCAGCAGUGGGGAAUAUUGCGCAAUGGGCGCAAGCCUGAUGCAGCCAUGCCGCGUGUAUGAAGAAGGCCUUCGGGUUGUAAAGUACUUUCAGCGGGGAGGAAGGCGGUGAAGUUAAUAGCUUCACCGAUUGACGUUACCCGCAGAGGAAGCACCGGCUAACUCCGUGCCAGCAGCCGCAGUAA